GGGGCGGUAGCUCAGUUGGUAGAGCACCUGCUUUGCAAGCAGGGGGUCGGCGGUUCGAGUCCGCUCCGCUCCA
rnacentral:tRNA from 2 species